AGAGUUUGAUCCUGGCUCAGAUUGAACGCUGGCGGCAUGCCUUACACAUGCAAGUCGAACGGCAGCACGGGAGCAAUCCUGGUGGCGAGUGGCGAACGGGUGAGUAAUACAUCGGAACGUGUCCUGUAGUGGGGGAUAGCCCGGCGAAAGCCGAUUAAUACCGCAUACGACCUAUGGGUGAAAGCGGGGGACUCGCAAGGCCUCGCGCUAUAGGAGCGGCCGAUGUCAGAUUAGCUAGUUGGUGGGGUAAAGGCCUACCAAGGCAACGAUCUGUAGCUGGUCUGAGAGGACGACCAGCCACACUGGGACUGAGACACGGCCCAGACUCCUACGGGAGGCAGCAGGGGGAAUUUUGGACAAUGGGCGCAAGCCUGAUCCAGCCAUGCCGCGUGCGGGAAGAAGGCCUUCGGGUUGUAAACCGCUUUUGUCAGGGAAGAAACGCACUAGGCUAAUACCUUGGUGUAAUGACGGUACCUGAAGAAUAAGCACCGGCUAACUACGUGCCAGCAGCCGCGGUAAUACGUAGGGUGCAAGCGUUAAUCGGAAUUACUGGGCGUAAAGCGUGCGCAGGCGGUUGUGCAAGACAGAUGUGAAAUCCCCGGGCUUAACCUGGGAACUGCAUUUGUGACUGCACAGCUAGAGUGUGGCAGAGGGGAAUGGAAUUCCGCGUGUAGCAGUGAAAUGCGUAGAUAUGCGGAGGAACACCGAUGGCGAAGGCAAUUCCCUGGGCCUGCACUGACGCUCAUGCACGAAAGCGUGGGGAGCAAACAGGAUUAGAUACCCUAGUAGUCC
rnacentral:rRNA from 1 species